rnacentral:rRNA from 1 species
AUUGAACGCUGGCGGCAGGCUUAACACAUGCAAGUCGAGCGGAGCGAGGGUGCUUGCACCUUAGCUUAGCGGCGGACGGGUGAGUGAUGCUUAGGAAUCUGCCUAUUAGUGGGGGACAACAUCUCGAAAGGGAUGCUAAUACCGCAUACGUCCUACGGGAGAAAGCAGGGGAUCACUUGUGACCUUGCGCUAAUAGAUGAGCCUAAGUCGGAUUAGUUAGUUGGUGGGGCAAAGGCCUACCAAGGCGACGAUCUGUAGCGGGUCUGAGAGGAUGAUCCGCCACACUGGGACUGAGACACGGCCCAGACUCCUACGGGAGGCAGCAGUGGGGAAUAUUGGACAAUGGGGGUACCCUGAUCCAGCCAUGCCGCGUGUGUGAAGAAGGCCUUAUGGUUGUAAAGCACUUUAAGCGAGGAGGAGGCUCUUUUGGUUAAUACCCAAGAUGAGUGGACGUUACUCGCAGAAUAAGCACCGGCUAACUCUGUGCCAGCAGCCGCCGUAA